ACUGCUAUCGGAUGAUACUAAGCCAUGCGAGUCUUUGCAGUAAUGCAAGGCAGACGGCUCAGUAACACGUAGUCAACUUACCCUAUGGACGAGGAUAAUCUCGGGAAACUGAGCAUAAUACUCGAUAGAUCAUAAUGCCUGGAAUGGUUUAUGAUUAAAAUGAUUCGUCGCCAUAGGAUGGGACUGCGGCCUAUCAGCUUGUUGGUGAGGUAAUGGCCCACCAAGGCGAUUACAGGUACGGGCUCUGAGAGGAGAAGCCCGGAGAUGGGUACUGAGACAAGGACCCAGGCCCUAUGGGGCGCAGCAGGCGAGAAAACUUUGCAAUGUGCGAAAGCACGACAAGGUUAAUCCGAGUGAUUUCUGCUAAAGAAAUCUUUUGCAAGUCAUAAAACCACUAGUGAAUAAGGGGUGGGCAAGUUCUGGUGUCAGCCGCCGCGGUAAAACCAGCACCUCAAGUGGUCAGGAUGAUUAUUGGGCCUAAAGCAUCCGUAGCCUGCUUUGUAAGUUUUCGGUUAAAUCCAUGUGCUCAACGCAUGGGCUGCCGAAAAUACUGCAUAGCUAGGGAGUGGGAGAGGUAGACGGUACUCAGUAGGUAGGGGUAAAAUCCUUUGAUCUAUUGAUGACCACCUGUGGCGAAGGCGGUCUACCAGAACACGUUCGACGGUGAGGGAUGAAAGCUGGGGGAGCAAACCGGAUUAGAUACCCGGGUAGUCCCAGCUGUAAACGAUGCAGACUCGAUGAUGCAUUGGCAUAAUAGCCAUUGCAGUGUCGCAGGGAAGCCGUUAAGUCUGCCGCCUGGGAAGUACGUACGCAAGUAUGAAACUUAAAGGAAUUGGCGGGGGAGCACCACAAGGGGUGAAGCCUUGCGGUUCAAUGGAUUCA
rnacentral:rRNA from 1 species